UACGAAGGGGGCUAGCGUUGCUCGGAAUCACUGGGCGUAAAGGGUGCGUAGGCGGGUCUUUUAAGUCAGGGGUGAAAUCCUGGAGCUCAACUCCAGAACUGCCUUUGAUACUGGGAGUAUCGUAGUUCGGGAGAGGUGAGUGGAACUGCGAGUGUAGAGGUGAAAUUCGUAGAUAUUCGCAAGAACACCAGUGGCGAAGGCGGCUCACUGGCC
rnacentral:rRNA from 1 species